UGAGUAACCUGCCCUUCACUCUGGGAUAACUCCGGGAAACCGGGGCUAAUACUGGAUAUGACUCGAACAGGCAUCUGUUUCGGGUGGAAAGAUUUUAUUGGUGGAGGAUGGACUCGCGGCCUAUCAGCUUGUUGGUGAGGUAAUGGCUCACCAAGGCGACGACGGGUAGCCGGCCUGAGAGGGUGACCGGCCACACUGGGACUGAGACACGGCCCAGACCUCCGUACGGGAGGCA
rnacentral:rRNA from 1 species